rnacentral:rRNA from 1 species
GACAUAGGUGGCAAACGUUAUCCGGAAUUAUUGGGCGUAAAGAGUGCGUAGGUGGUUUAAUAAGUUACUGGUGGUAAAUUAGGGCUCAACCCUAUGGAGGUCAGUAAUACUAUUAAACUAGAGGAUCGGAGAGGGUAACGGAAUUCUAUGUGUAGCGGUAAAAUGCUCAAAUAUAUAGAGGAACCCCAAUAGGCGAAGGCAGUUAACUAUGCGGCUCCUGACGUUGAGGCACGAAAGCGUGGGGAGCAAGCCGG